GAAAAGAAAAUUAAUUGAAAAAUAAACUAGGGGCUCAAUCACUUCUCAGUCUCCAAACUUUGGUCGAUCCGAUGGCGUCUCCAAUCGAGCUCCUCCUGCCUGGAUUUCAUAAUUUGCUGUUUUGAUUAUGGAACUAGUGAUUCAUUUGUGCGCGCGGUGGACGAAGGAGGAAGCGCAGCGGUGGAGGAGGAUGUGGCCGCAGAGCAGUGGUUGGGGUUGGGAGCUCAUCUUGUAAGUUGAUAAUGCAGCAGCGCCAUUAGCAGUCUCAGAUCGGAACUGUUCCUCAGCUUCUUGCCGGUGAAGUUUCCGGUGCCGUCAACAAGACAUGCACUGCACCCCUUAUUAUUCUCUUUCAGGAAUGCACACGGAUGCUGGUAGCUUAAAAAGGGCAAGUAUAAUGCAAGAGGCAUCACGUAUUGUACAUGAAGAAGGGUAUCAGGCAUUUUAGAAGGGGAAUUUGGUCACACUUUCUCAACGCUUCCAUAUUCCUAUGUCAGCUUCUAUGCAUUUUUGAACACUACAAGAAUGUCGGUACAAACCUUCCGUGAAUUCUAUAUUUUAAAGUAUAUUACUGAGCGCCAAUAAUUUCUGUAGCUUGUCUGUCUAAAUUUUUUCUUGUUAUAUAGACAAAUAAAGGUGUUGUAGUUGAUUUUGGGAGUUGAAAGCCAAGGAGAGAAUAUAACUGCAGACUUUUGUAUACGACUUGUAGGCGGUGGAUUAUCUGGGAUAACAGCUGCUUCUGUUACAUACCCCUUGGAUCAUGUUAGUACGCGUGUUGCAGCUGGCAUUUUCAUCUGGAUUGGGUAACAGUUUUGGUUUUGGAAACAUCUUUAUUUGCUAAUCAAAUGUAUUUUUAAAAUGGCGUGGAGACAAAGUCCAAAGGGGGAAAAGGGGAUCAAAAGAGCUACUUUUAAUGGUGUGUUAGGAGAAAGUUUUUGUUCAGUAAUUGAAACAGUUAUGAUCUUGAUAACCUGAACCAAGUUUUUCGGUUUUCCUUUUUUGUUAUGUUCUAAUUUGCCUUCAUCUUAGUGAUU